GGAAUGGUAGGACUUGUUGUGAAUCUCUCCGGUAAGUAGGAGUGAGGGAAAGAGCAGAAGUGCUGAUACAGAGCAAUCCGGGUCACCAGCAAUAAGCUUAAUUGAUGGCUCCAGAGAUUGUGAAUGCAGGAUCUCUGGGAAUCUGGCAGAGGACGCCUUGCUUCUGAAAUCAUUGGAGCCUUUUCAUCUGGGCUGUAAAGAAUCUUGUGACCUGGAGAAAACCCACAAGGGAGCCCUAGUAUUACCCAUAAUGACUUGUUAUUCUCCUUUUAAUAAAAGUAACUUCUUGUU